AGAUCCACCUUCAUCUUCUCUUUGGUAUCCUCGGUCUUUUAUCAAUCAGCAACUAUUGCCUCGAUUUGUUCUAUUCGCCCAUACAGCUUGAUGUAGCUGCUACUAUAGAUUUUGCAUUUCUUGCAAGAAGAGGCUAGUAAAUUUGUGAAGUAAAUUGAGUGCCUAUCUCCCCUAGAGCACGAUGAAGUUCAAAAUCUAUUGAGAUUCCCUCUAUCAGAAUGAAAGAGGCACUUAACGAACAUUUGAAACAGAGAAAAGGAGAAACGGGGGCAAGGAUUCCAGCUCGAGUGGCAAACUGUACAAUACUCACAAAUACCUAAGUUACUGGUAGCAAAUGAUGAAAUAUCAAGAUGUAGCCUGAUUUUCAAGGCAAGCCUUGUAUGAUAAUAUGCCCUUUUCUCCUUCUA
rnacentral:lncRNA from 1 species